rnacentral:misc_RNA from 1 species
ACAAGAGUUACAAGUGCAUGCAAACAAGAUCAAAUUAAAUAAGAAAUAUGAAGAGGAUACUUUAAGACGAAUAAGAGAAUCACGUGAUGAAUGCAUAAAAAUUGAUCAGAAGCUUUGGCUGCUACAGCAACAGGAUGCCAAAAGACGAGGCUUGCCAGGGAUGGAAUGCAUCAAGCCGAU